rnacentral:rRNA from 1 species
UUCGCAAUGCCCGAAAGGGUGACGAAGCGACGCCGCGUGGGUGAGGAAGGCCUUCGGGUUGUAAAGCCCUGUCCGGAGUUAAGAAAUGUAAGUGCGCUAAUAUCGCACUUAUUUGACGAAGGCUCCAAAGGAAGCCACGGCUAACUCUGUGCCAGCAGCCGCGGUAAUACAGAGGUGGCAAGCGUUGUUCGGAAUUAUUGGGCGUAAAGAGCACGUAGGUGGGUUUGUAAGUCAGAUGUGAAAGCCUCCUGUUCAACGGGAGAAUUGCAUCUGAAACUACUGAUCUUGAGUAUAGGAGGGGAGAAUGGAACUUCUGGUGGAGCGGUGAAAUGCGUAGAUAUCAGAAGGAACGCCGGCGGCGAAAGCGAUUCUCUGGCCCAUUACUGACACUCAGUGUGCGAAAGCUAGGGGAGCAAACGGGAUUAGAUACCCCGGUAGUCCUAGCCGUAAACGAUGGGCACUAAGUAGAGGGGUUUU